CAAGAAGGUUGCAUACAUUUAGCUUCAUUGUUGUGGUGUGGAACUGAACCUGCAAUAUCUCUGGGAAAUCCAGAUAAUAACUGUGGAAACCUAACUUGGAAAUGAGGUGGUGGCAAUCUGUCACCAUGACGCUGUUGCAGUGCCCAUGUGGACAAGCAGGAAGACUGGCGACCUCACUCAGGUACCUAGGCUACAGGAGGCUCCAACUCCAUGCUUCCCUAAUUGCCAAGCUCCAGGUCCAGCAGCCCCUGCGCACCGUGCACGGUGCACCCUUCGUCAGCAUGCCCAUCCCUGUCAGAGAAUCAGAGGAAGCUACGUGGUUUUAACUUCUCUCUUAC